AUACAGAGGGUGCGAGCGUUAAUCGGAAUUACUGGGCGUAAAGCGCGCGUAGGCGGCUUAUUAAGUCAGAUGUGAAAUCCCCGGGCUCAACCUGGGAACUGCAUCUGAUACUGGUAAGCUAGAGUUUUGGAGAGGGAAGUAGGAUUUCAGGUGUAGCGGUGAAAUGCAUAGAGAUCUGAAGGAAUACCAGUGGCGAAGGCGACUUCCUGGCCAAAAACUGACGCUGAGGUGCGAAAGCGUGGGUAGCAAACGGGAUUAGAUACCCUAGUAGUCC
rnacentral:rRNA from 1 species